AACGAACGCUGGCGGCGCGCCUAAUACAUGCAAGUCGAGCGAGAAGACGUAGCAAUACGUUUGUAAAGCGGCGAACGGGUGAGGAAUACAUGGGUAACCUACCCUCGAGUGGGGAAUAACUAGCCGAAAGGUUAGCUAAUACCGCGUACGCUCCUCGGACUUCGGUUCAGGGAGGAAAGCGAUACCGUGGGUAUCGCGCUCUUGGAUGGGCUCAUGUCCUAUCAGCUUGUUGGUGAGGUAACGGCUCACCAAGGCUUCGACGGGUAGCUGGUCUGAGAGGACGAUCAGCCACACUGGCACUGCGACACGGGCCAGACUCCUACGGGAGGCAGCAGUAAGGAAUAUUGCGCAAUGGGCGAAAGCC
rnacentral:rRNA from 1 species